CUGGAAUCAAAAGGAUGGGUCUCCAAGACAAAUACUUCAUCCGCAUGCCCCACCAAAUCAUGAAGCAAUUGCCCUGUAGAUGAAUUCCAAACUUUGAGCAGAUGAUUAUUUACAGCCGUAACAACAUAGUUGUCAUCUUGGUUCCAAGCUAUCAUCGUUACUUUAGGCCUCAUAAAUUUAUCUUCGUCUGAACACAUGUCACCUGGUAAUCGAUCUGACAUAUCCAACAGAAUACUCCUCCACUCAGCUUCUUCAAAGCGCCAGAUUCGUGCUGUCCCAUCUCUA
rnacentral:lncRNA from 1 species